rnacentral:rRNA from 1 species
GACGAAGGAUGCAAGCGUUAUCCGGAUUCAUUGGGUUUAAAGGGAGCGUAGGCGGACUUGUAAGUCAGUGGUGAAAUCUGUGGGCUUAACCCACAAACUGCCAUUGAUACUGCAAGUCUUGAGUACAGUUGCCGUUGGCGGAAUAUGACAUGUAGUGGUGAAAUACUUAGAUAUGUCAUAGAACACCGAUUGCGAAGGCAGCUAACGAAGCUGUAACUGACGCUGAGGCUCGAAAGUGCGGGGAUCAAACAGG